ACAUAUCACUGAGCCCAUAGUCCAAGAUGUCAGAGAGUUUCUCCUACUAUCCCUGACAUGUUGUAACCAUGGAUGAUCCUUUAGCAAGGGACAGGAGAUGGUUAUUUGAGUAGAAAACUUUGAAUGCAGAAAGAUUUGUUCUUUACUGUAAUAUUUUCUCCAUGCAGCUUCAUGCAUCCAGGUUUCAGCCUUAAACAACUCUCAAAUUAAUAACAAGGGCCCACCUUAUUUUUGUGAUAAUUUUGAGGAAAAGGCAACUGAAUAAGGAGUGAUUUUGAUAUGUGGUCUAACUCCCUCUGGUUUCCACUGAUUGAUGUGUCUGGACCUUACUGGAGCUUCUUGCCUUCACUGAAUCAGAAAACUUUCUCAUCUCUCUUUCCUCCUUCCUUCCCCAAAAGCUGAAGAUAACUAUAUACACUUAAUAUUCAGGGGCAACAAUUGCCAGAAUAAUAAACCUUUUGUUUUUUUUCUUGUACUUUCUCCACCCAGUUUAUUGCAGGGCUUUCCUGACUUUGAGUCAGAAGACUACAAUGAACCUGCUCCUUUCUUAGAGUUUUUUCCACUUAGACAUUGCAAUUACACAUCCUCCUUGGUGAAGAUUUCAAAAGGGAUAUUCACACCUACAAAUCUGGAUGUUGCAUCCACAAAUCAAAAGAUUGCUUAGAUGCACAAUCUAGAAUAUCACUGUAGCUAUGCAGUACAGCCUAAUCAUGUUGACAAAAGCAAAUUCCAUGUGUUUUCAGGCCAACAGAACCAACAUGUCUCUGCUGUAAUCCAGUGAUUCCACGCUAAUGCGGGAGGUUGGUUCUCUGACGAGUAUAAUUCAGACAUGUGUCACUGCUCCUCUUAUUUCAUAUAUAGUUGGCUCUACUGGCUUACCAGUUGCUGAACAUUUUCCACAUUGUUGCUAAAUAGCUGUUUUCUGUUUCUCUCUGAAAACACAGAAGAAAAUAAGGACAGUCAGGAAAACCCCCUCCAAUUGUCAGGAGAAUUAGGAACAAUGAGUUAUAUAAAAAUAAAUCUACCUGUACCAGCUAAAAAGGUGUCUCCAAGACAGAUUCAUGGAAGAUAUAGUCAUGUAUAAAAACUGUGAAUUUACCUAAUACUAAAUCCUGGACCAG